rnacentral:rRNA from 1 species
AGCGAACGCUGGCGGCAGGCUUAACACAUGCAAGUCGAGCGCCCCGCAAGGGGAGCGGCAGACGGGAGAGUAACACGUGGGAACAUACCUUUUGGUUCGGAACAACUGAGGGAAACUCCAGCUAAUACCGGAUAAGCCCUUACGGGGAAAGAUUUAUCGCCGAAAGAUUGGCCCGCGUCUGAUUAGCUAGUUGGUGAGGUAACGGCUCACCAAGGCGACGAUCAGUAGCUGGUCUGAGAGGAUGAUCAGCCUCACUGGGACUGAGACACGGCCCAGACUCCUACGGGAGGCAGCAGUGGGGAAUAUUGGACAAUGGGCGCAAGCCUGAUCCAGCCAUGCCGCGUGAGUGAUGAAGGCCUUAGGGUUGUAAAGCUCUUUUAACGGGGAAGAUAAUGACGGUACCCGUAGAAUAAGCCCCGGCUAACUUCGUGCCAGCCGCCGCGGUAACAC